rnacentral:rRNA from 1 species
GAUGAACGCUGGCGGCGUGCCUAAUACAUGCAAGUCGAGCGAAUGGAUUAAGAGCUUGCUCUUAUGAAGUUAGCGGCGGACGGGUGAGUAACACGUGGGUAACCUGCCCAUAAGACUGGGAUAACUCCGGGAAACCGGGGCUAAUACCGGAUAAUAUUUUGAACCGCAUGGUUCGAAAUUGAAAGGCGGCUUCGGCUGUCACUUAUGGAUGGACCCGCGUCGCAUUAGCUAGUUGGUGAGGUAAAGGCUCACCAAGGCAACGAUGCGUAGCCGACCGGAGAGGGUGAUCGGCCACACUGGGACGGAGACACGGCCCAGACUCCUACGGGAGGCAGCAGUAGGGAAUCUUCCGCAAUGGACGAAAGUCUGACGGAGCAACGCCGCGUGAGUGAUGAAGGCUUUCGGGUCGUAAAACUCUGUUGUUAGGGAAGAACAAGUGCUAGUUGAAUAAGCUGGCACCUUGACGGUACCUAACCAGAAAGCCACGGCUAACUACGUGCCAGCCGCCGCCGUAA